AUGGCUCCUCUCUCCCAGCCCGUGGGAGCAGCCAUGUCUGCAUUGGAACGCUCUGGCGACAACGGCCCUCCGCCCCACCAGCCCCCUGCGGCGGCCGCCGCUCCGGCCCCGUCGGCCUCCCUCACGGAUCCGCGCGUCCCCCGUAGCUCGCGGCAGCCUGCACCCGCGAGCAGGUUCAGAGCGGAGAAUGGGGGGCGUGCGCGGGUUCCCCGCGAGUCUCCUCCCCUGCUCGGGUCGGUGGCCACCCGGCAGCCCUCCGUCUCUGGCGGCGCUUCCGGUCAGUUGCUGGAGUCCCAGGCUUUGAUCCCCGAGGCUCUCCUUGUUCUAUCGGAUCUGGCGGCGGCCCCAACGCUACCUUCGCCACCUCAGGCGGGCCGAGUCCCUGCACCCGGCGUUGGCUUGGUGGUGGUGCUCGACUCCAGGCCUGCUUCCUGGUGCGCUGUCAAUGAUGAUGAGGUCCAGACUGAGGAGUUGGUUCCACAGCCGUUGCCCGACGGGUCUGCCGGCGAUGCACAUCUCCAGCUUGGUUGCUCUGUUGUGAAGGAUGUGGAAGAUAUUGAGGGCCUCACUGAAGGAUGUGAUGACGAGAAGACACCACAGAAGCUGCUUGGUCCAUCUUCAGAGUCGGCUUGCAUCGGCAUCUCUGCUGCCACUGCUGCUCUUGAAGCGGAGGCUGGCUGGGAGCAUGUGGAACGGGGACACCGUUCCGGCCGGGGUGCUCCCCCUGUGCCGUCGAGAGAAGGUCUUGAGCGUAGCCUCGCCUUCAAGCGUUGGGCUCGAGGAAGGUGCUUUCGUUGCCUCGAGCGUGGCCAUCAAGUCCGUGCAUGUCAUGAUCCAUUCAGAUGCAUACGCUGUCGUCGCCCUGGUCAUCGUGAGAGGUUUUGUCGUGCUCACUCUCCGGUUGCUCGGGAUCGCUCUUCGGUCGCCCGCGUGAGCUCUCCGGUCUCUCAAGCUCAUCACCAGCGGAGCCGCUCCCCAUUUGUCCAGCCUUGUUCUUCGCUAACCAGGUGUUGGGCAGAGGUCGUGAGCAACUCGUCGCUGCAUGUGUCGGUGCCGCCAAGGUCCCAAUCUAGGUGUCGCCAGGAUUCCAAUGUUAGUGCCUUUUUGGUCUCUGCUUUGGAGUCCCAGUUUGCUUUGCUACGUACGGAGCUCCUUUAG
rnacentral:rRNA from 1 species